AUGAAUUUAUAGGGAAUCGAUCUUACCGAUUUUCGUCGCGAAGCGACGAAAAUCGGGAUCGAAUCCCACUACGGUAACAUACGAGGGUAUCCAAACAACACAUACUAUCCAAAUAAAAAAAUAUGGAGUUCCGGUUUAGACCAUGGGCGUGCGACGACCCCGAUGAAAUUCGGGAUAUCACGGUCUUCGUUAAUGUUAAUAAGCGUCCGUCAGAUCAGUAGGCGAAACGCAAUAUCCGCACAAUAAGAUGUCUGCGACCCGAAAGAAUAUUCAAAGUAAGCUGUUAAUUUUGUUGCGUCAGAAGCUAAUCAGCCGGUAACGUGACUACACUGAUAUAAUUUGUGAUACAAACAUGCUUUAUUCAAUACUGAGUAGCAUUUUUAAACGGCGACAUUUUAAAUAUUUUUAUAUUUAGAGUGAGAGUGGAUACAGUAUCGAUACUGUUACACUGGCGCCGACAUUUUGAAAAUUUGAGAAAACAAAAACAUUCUCCAACGAGUUCUUCAGCUCGGGGAAUGAGAGAAUAGAUUCACCUUUGUGUCGCUUUUCAGAUCGUAUUUUAAUUCCUUUCCGAAUAUGGACGGCACUCCAGUACAGCAUGUGCAUGGUUGGACCUGUUGACAUUUUUAGAAACGCAUCUUGGUCUAUUAUACAGAGUAUUGUUGUACUGCUCCAAAGUGCUUGUUGACAGAAUGAAACCACUUGCUUGCAGCUCAUAAGGUUUACUUCUUGAGAGCAGGCAGCUACAAAAUGGAAGGUCAGCAAAUCCAGUAUACUUGAAAAGCAAGAAAGAAACACCAGAAAAUAUGAAAAGACAGAAAUACAAGGGAACUUGAAUAAAAAAAAACUUUUAAGGAUAGGAAUUCAGGAUUUACUUGGAAACUAAAUUUAUUUUGAGAGUAGCAGUGAUUGACUAAGCUCUGUUACUUUAAGAGAUAAUGUAUUAUCACAUUGGUUUUGUUAUUGUCGAGCCCGCUUGCGGAAGCGAAGACAUAGUUGUCCAAAUGUCUGUUCGGUGUAUGUGCGUGCGUGCGUCCGUCUGGAUUUGUUUGUCCAGACC